rnacentral:rRNA from 1 species
GAUGAACGCUGGCGGCGUGCCUAAUACAUGCAAGUAGAGCGCACAGACGAGAGUGCUUGCACUCUCUGACGUUAGCGGCGGACGGGUGAGUAACACGUAGCUAACCUACCUAUGAGACUGGAAUAUUUUCGGGAAACCGGAGCAAAUCAUAGAAAUUAUUUAGCUACGAAAGAAGCAAAAAUGAAAGACGUUUCUCCUGUCAAUUAGAGCUGGACCCGCGUUUUAUUAGUUAGUUGGUAAGGGAACGGCACACCAAGGCAACGUUACAUAGCCGACUUGAGAGGUGGACCGGCCACCCUGGGACUGAGACACGGCCCAGACUCCUACGGGAGGCGGCAUAAGGGAAUCUUCGGCAUGGGACGGAAUUCUGCCGGGGCAAUGCCGGUUGAUUGAGGAAGUUUUUCGGAUGUUAAGACUUGUUUGUAGGGGAAGAAGAGGGACGUUGUUGACAGAACGUACUGUGACGGUACCUUACCAGAAAGCCACGGCUAACUACGUG